rnacentral:rRNA from 1 species
CCUACGGGAGGCAGCAGUGGGGAAUAUUGGUCAAUGGGCGCAAGCCUGAACCAGCAAAGCCGCGUGAAGGAAGUAGGCUUUCUGGUUGUAAACUUCUUUUAAGAGGGGAGCACAGAAGACGGUGCCUCUUGAAUAAGCCACGGCUAACUACGUACCAGCCGCCGCGGUCAUACGUAGGGGGCAAGCGUUGUCCGGAUUUACUGGGUGUAAAGGGCGUGCAGCCGGGAAGACAAGUCAGAUGUGAAAUCCCGCGGCUCAACCGCGGAAUUGCAUUUGAAACUGUUUUUCUUGAGUACCGGAGAGGUCAUCGGAAUUCGUGGUGUAGCGGUGAAAUGCGUAGAUAUAAGGAAGAACACCAGUGGCGAAGGCGGAUGACUGGACGGCAACUGACGGUGAGGCGCGAAAGCGUGGGGAGCAAACAGGAUUAGAUACCCUAGUAGUC